UACGUAGGGUGCAAGCGUUAAUCGGAAUUACUGGGCGUAAAGGGCGCGUAGGCGGCCUUCUAAGUCGAACGUGAAAUCCCUGGGCUCAACCCAGGAACUGCGUCCGAUACUGGGAGGCUUGAAUCCGGGAGAGGGAUGCGGAAUUCCAGGUGUAGCGGUGAAAUGCGUAGAUAUCUGGAGGAACACCGGUGGCGAAGGCGGCAUCCUGGACCGGCAUUGACGCUGAGGCGCGAAAGCCAGGGGAGCAAACGGG
rnacentral:rRNA from 1 species